AGCUGCUGUUGAANGUUCCUUCUAUMGAAGGAUAAUAUUAAUAAGACUUUUUUGUCUUAAUGUAUAUGAAUUUGUAAAGGAAAGAGGAAUACCCAAUAUAUUGGUUUUGGUUUUUCCGACCAUUAUAUUGGGUAACUCAAUUGGGUACCCAGGGGUCUUGAAAACCUUGGAUUGGGUACCCGGGGUGGGUACCGGGCGGUCUUGAAAACCCCUCAAUUGGGUAAGCAUACUAAGUUGGUCUAAAAACCCAAUAUGGUAAGGAAAGAGAAAUACUUAAUAUAUGGGUCUUCAAAAUCCAUGGGUAUUUCUCUUUUUUUUUUGCUUUGUUUGAUCCCUAUUUUGUUUUCUUCUUCAUUACAGAUUUAUUAUCGUUAUCGUUUCUUGCAUCUCUCGCGAAAUUCCGGGUAGGCGCGAAUUCUCCCAAUUUGUGACCUAUCAUAGAAUCUGUUAUAUAAAUAGGGAAAUGUUCCUUUCCAUUAUGAAUACCGAUUGUAUGGCCAACCAUUGGGGGUAUAAUGGUAGAUGCCCGAGACCAAGUGACUAUUAUUUCUUUCUCCUCCCCCAUUUUUAUUUUUUGAAUUUUUUCUGAUAAAUGCUUAGCUACAAAUCUUUCUUUUGCUACAAAUUUUUCUCUUUCUUUUGCUACAAAUCUUUUUUUUUGAUGUAUCACAGCUGAUUACUCCUUUUUUUCCAUGUUUGUUAAAGAUUGGCAUUCUAUGUCCAAUAUCUCGAUCUAAGUAUAGAGGUCAGAAUAAAUACAAUAAUGAUGAAUGGAAAAAAGAGAAA
rnacentral:misc_RNA from 1 species